UGCCCAGCAACUCUUACCCCUACCUCCUCGCAGUACUGGCCGAGGUACGAACAACCUUAGGAAAGAUCGGGUUACCAACCCCGGUGGGAACUCUGGUCCUAUGCUGACAGAGAAAG
rnacentral:ribozyme from 1 species